rnacentral:rRNA from 1 species
GACGAAGGAUGCAAGCGUUAUCCGGAUUCAUUGGGUUUAAAGGGCGCGUAGGUGGUCUUGUAAGUCAGUGGUGAAAUCUUCCAGCUUAACUGGGAAACUGCCAUUGAUACUGCAGGACUUGAGUACAGAUGCUGUGGGCGGAAUAUGACAUGUAGUGGUGAAAUACAUAGAGAUGUCAUAGAACACCGAUUGCGAAGGCAGCUCACAAAACUGUAACUGACACUGAGGCUCGAAAGUGCGGGGAUCAAACAGG